UACGAAGGGGGCUAGCGUUGUUCGGAUUUACUGGGCGUAAAGCGCACGUAGGCGGAUCGUUAAGUCGGGGGUGAAAUCCUGGGGCUCAACCCCAGAACUGCCUUCGAUACUGGCGAUCUCGAGUCCGGAAGAGGUGAGUGGAACUCCUAGUGUAGAGGUGGAAUUCGUAGAUAUUAGGAAGAACACCAGUGGCGAAGGCGGCUCACUGGUCCGGUACUGACGCUGAGGUGCGGAAGCGUGGGGAGCAAACAGGG
rnacentral:rRNA from 1 species